CAUGAAUGUUCAGCAUGCGUCAGUUUUAGCUUCUGAAGUGGUGGACAGCUGUGGAUGUGAGGCAGAGCUGUGUCCUCUUCUGGGAUCCUCGGCAAUCUCUAGAUCGGGCCAUGAGAUGAAGCAGCGUGCGAGCUGCAGAGCAGUGGGUUCUUUCACCAGAGAGAGACAGACGUGGGGAAGGGAGCCCCUCAGCACGUGGGCCUGACCCAGGGACUGCUGUGGACGCCACUGCACCACAGAGAGUCCUUCACGUCCUACUGCAGAGGCCGAGAAGACAAGUAUUUACUCUCUCCACCUCUUUGUACCCAGCGGAAGACAUGCCACCUAGUUUGGGGCCAUCAGAUAGCAGAAGGUGCUGACAAUGGCCAGUCCAGCUCUCUUGUAUGGGGCAGGAAGUCCUCCCAGCUGUGUGACGUGCCAGGAGCCCCGGGUGCUUCUUGCGUGGGAAAGACUUGGAGGCUGAGCUGCACACCUGGGAAGCCUGCUGCCAGGGCUGGCCAGCUCAGGACUUGAAGGCCAGAGCCUCUGCCUCAGUGGCAGUGACUCUGGACGGGGCUGGGCUGGGCCCAUCUUUGCCUAGACUUUUCCCUGCACUGCUUUGCUGACUGUGAAAGGAGUUUCCCUGAAAGCAGUCUGCCAACCCGUCACCUGUGUGGGGGCCUCUGUUCAGCUUCUGAAGAACCCACCCAAGACAGACCCACGCAGAAGUUCAGGCGGUCCUCCCAGGUAGGCCUGGGCUCCCUUGAUUAAAAAGGGGAAGAAGAGGGCUGGGCUGGGGCUCAGUGGCAGAGCACUUGCCGAGCGUGCACGAGGCACUGGGUUCCAUCCUGGCACCACAGAAAAAUAAGCAAAAUAAAGGUAUUGUGUCCAUCUACAGCUAAAAAAAUAUUUUAAAAAGGUGGUGGGAGGGGGUGGAGAGGAAACAUUUUAAGGCAUCCCCAUGCUUCCUCCAUUCUGGCCCUGAACAUGGCUGCAAUGUCUGGAGAUACAACUCCCACCUUGUGACAAAAAGGCAGCAGGAGGGAAUGGGCAAGAGCGUCCAGUGCCGGCACCGGCAGCUCCUGCCUACAGAGAGUUCAACAGGGUGUAAGUCACCGUGACUCAGUUGUCUGCUGCGUGUGGCUGGACGCACACUGUAGGGUGCAUUGUUGUGAGAAUGUACUGGAAAGUGUGGGGCUUAACACACGGCAGGCCCCACCCUGGGUGACUUUUUUUUCUCUGUGUCUCCCUGGAUUAAUGUUCUUAGACGAGGCCAUGUUAGAUGCCACCUCUUCUGCUCCUUGUCUUUCCAGUCAGCUCCUUCUGAGUUGCUUCUAUCUUUGAACUAAUGUCUGACUAAGAGGGGUAACUGCCCCAUGUGGUGGUUCCCAGGAACUCUGGGGGCUGGGAAGGGGACCAAGGUCCACCUGGGCAACUCAGUGAGACCCUG
rnacentral:lncRNA from 1 species